GAUGAACGCUGGCGGCGUGCCUAAUACAUGCAAGUCGAGCGAAUGGAUUAAGAGCUUGCUCUUAUGAAGUUAGCGGCGGACGGGUGAGUAACACGUGGGUAACCUGCCCAUAAGACUGGGAUAACUCUGGGAAACCGGGGCUAAUACCGGAUAACAUUUUGAACCGCAUGGUUCGAAAUUGAAAGGCGGCUUCGGCUGUCACUUAUGGAUGGACCCGCGUCGCAUUAGCUAGUUGGUGAGGUAACGGCUCACCAAGGCAACGAUGCGUAGCCGUCCUGAGAGGGUGGUCGGCCACACUGGGACUGAGACACGGCCCAGACUCCUACGGGAGGCAGCAGUAGGGAAUCUUCCGCAAUGGACGAAAGUCUGACGGAGCAACGCCGCGUGAGUGAUGAAGGCUUUCGGGUCGUAAAACUCUGUUGUUAGGGAAGAACAAGUGCUAGUUGAAUAAGCUGGCACCUUGACGGUACCUAACCAGAAAGCCACGGCUAACUACGUGCCAGCAGCCGCAGUAA
rnacentral:rRNA from 1 species